UACGAAGGGGGCUAGCGUUGCUCGGAAUCACUGGGCGUAAAGCGCACGUAGGCGGACUCUUAAGUCGGUGGUGAAAUCCUGGAGCUCAACUCCAGAACUGCCUUCGAUACUGAGAGUCUCGAGUCCGGGAGAGGUGAGUGGAACUGCGAGUGUAGAGGUGAAAUUCGUAGAUAUUCGCAAGAACACCAGUGGCGAAGGCGGCUCACUGGCCCGAUACUGACGCUGAGGCACGAAAGCG
rnacentral:rRNA from 1 species